GUCUCAUUCAGUCUGUUUUCUCACACUCGCUGUAAUGGAGUUGUUCAUCUUUAUUGUUUUUCAGCUCCUCAUGGAGGUUCAGACCAACAACACACUUCAGAAACCCGUCAUCAGUGUUAGUGAAAAUGAGGAUCUGCUCAGCAUAUCAUGUGAUAUACCAGCUUCAGACAGAGCUGAUGUGUCCUGUAAUCUCUACACUGUAGAUGGAGCUCUUCUGACCAGCCGUGACUCUCAGUGGAGUUCAUCUGGAGAGCAACAUCUUUGUAUGUUUUAUCAAAAUCUUAGUGAUCUCUUGAGAAGAUCAGGACACAUCAGACAGUUGAGCUGUGAUUAUUCACUCAAGACUAAACCUGGCAUCAGAUCUCCACACAGUGACCCAUACACACUCAGAGGUCUUCCUCAGGCCAGACUGUCAGCGUCUGCUUUAGUUCUUCAGGAAACAGACACAGUUGAGCUGAGCUGUGAGAAUACUGAAGAGCUGAAGAUGGAGAUGUGUGUAUUUAACAUUAAUGGAAGAGAAAGUAACUCAAAACGGAGUUCUUCAUGUCAGCUCUCACUCACUGCAUCUCAGAUCCGUGUUUGGUCAGCAGCUCAGAGUUCAUCAGUGAAAAUAACCUGCUUCUACACUGUGAAGAAUGGACAAUAUCAAGUACAAUCUCCGUCUGAUCCAGUGACAGUUACAGUUCAGA
rnacentral:lncRNA from 1 species